rnacentral:lncRNA from 1 species
GCAAUGUAAUUAUAUUUAAUUACAAGUGUGCUCCUGGUGGUCUUUAACUGAAGGGCACUGACUGGGUCACCGGUGAAGUUCUCCGCAGGAACUGAGUCAGACCCCAUCUCAGGGCCCUGCACAAAAUAGGUGCCUGCUCUAAGGCGUGGACCCUCGCGACAGCCCUGGCCCGUCUUGACGGGCGACGGUUACUGUACUUGUCCCAACCGUACAGAUGAGAAAGCUGAGACUCAGGGCGAGCAACCCCGGUCCCAGCGGAGCGCCCGGCACGCGCCGACAAUUCAGCACCAGCAGCGGUGGCCACCACUGUGCGCGGAGAUGGCUGCGACGCGUGCGCAGGUAAAGUCCAUCCGCGCCUUGCCUCCCACCGGCACCUUCCCCAGCCUCUGGUUUUUGUCGCCGCCAGCGGCUCCGACUCCAUCGCGUCCUCUUCCAGUCUAGUGCUUUUUUCCAGAUCUCGAUCCCAAACUCCCUCCUGCCAGAAUCUGGACCCGAAUCCACGCAUUGCCCAUUUUCCUCUGCCGCUGGAGAGAAUCUCUGAGGUCCCCAGGACAGCCUGCCUGCACGGAAGAGAUGCCCCCUCAAUUAAAUGCUGUUUUCCAUGACUGUCUCUGUUCUUCCCAUAGGCGAAUGGCAGGCAUCCAGAUCUCCAAGAACAGAGGAUUAGGAGAGACUCCACCACCUAUAUCCUCACAGUUAAUUAUCGAUUUGUGUCAGUUGCCCAUUUUCUCACUUCCUGUUUGUGUGUCAAGGAGUAUUAAUAAAUCUUUGCCUAUUUAAA